UUUCUUAGUAAAAAAGGCCGACGGUGUUCUGCCCAAAUAACUGACUGGUCGUAGGUUCGAAUCCUACUUGGGGAGA
rnacentral:tRNA from 1 species